rnacentral:rRNA from 1 species
UACGUAGGGGGCUAGUGUUGUCCGGAAUCAUUGGGCGUAAAGCGCGUGUAGGCGGUUCGGUAAGUCCGCUGUGAAAGUCGGGGGCUCAACCCUCGAAUGCCGGUGGAUACUGUCGGACUAGAGUACGGAAGAGGCGAGUGGAAUUCCUGGUGUAGCGGUGAAAUGCGCAGAUAUCAGGAGGAACACCAAUUGCGAAGGCAGCUCGCUGGGACGUUACUGACGCUGAGACGCGAAAGCGUGGGGAGCAAACAGG